rnacentral:rRNA from 1 species
UACAGAGGUCUCAAGCGUUGUUCGGAUUCAUUGGGCGUAAAGGGCGCGCAGGCGGUCUUGAAAGUCAGGCGUGAAAGCCCCGGGCUUAACCUGGGAAUUGCGCUUGAUACUCUGAGACUGGAGUACGGGAGAGGAGAGUGGAAUUCCCAGUGUAGAGGUGAAAUUCGUAGAUAUUGGGAAGAACACCAGUGGCGAAGGCGGCUCUCUGGACCGUAACUGACGCUGAGGCGCGAAAGCGUGGGGAGCAAACAGG